UCGUAGCUAGACAUCUUCAUAGAUUUAUAUACGAAGAUCAUACGUACUUUCUUAUUCCGAUUUUCAACGAUAAAUUUUAUCGAAAAUUUAUUCGUCUUACGUUAGAGAAUAUUUGUUUGAACUUUCUUGCUAAAUAUAUAUCUAAUCACGUCUAUAUUUGGCAAAUAAAAAGUUUCAAGUUUUUUCUCCUCGCCUAAAUCAGCAGAAAUGGCACCGAAAAGAGGAAUAAAAAAAAUACAUAAAGGAAUAGCUAAAAGUAAAAAAGAACUUCGCUAUUUGAAAAAUGAUAGUUCUUUCACCAGUACUACGGAUACUUCAUUUUCUUCGGAUUGUUCCGAUUGCGAUUGUUCCGAUUGCGAUUGUUCCGAUUGUUAUGAUCAAUGUCCUCUGACGUCACGUAAAAGCAGUAAAGGAAGGUCGAAGGGGAAGGUUUCGAAAACGUCAAAAAAGAAAAAAAAUAGUAAAACGAAAACGUCCAAGAAAAAAUCUUCUCGACGUACAAAACAAUCCUCAUCCUCUUGCAGCUGUUCCUCAUGCGAUUGUUAUUCCAGUAGUGAUGGAGGUUGCUACGAUUGCCCGUCAUCAAAAAGUAAAACUUGUCGUUAAAAUAAGGCAUAAUUUAUGAUGAAAAAAAAAUUAUUUAAAUUUACUCUUGAUAUUUAUUUAUUUACUUAUUUAUUUAUUUAUUCUUUAAUGCAUUUUAUAAUGGAUAUCGUUGCACGAGAAGUUAUCACACACACAGACAUAUGUCUAUAUUAAGAGAUUAUAUUUUAAUUAUUUAUAAAGUAAUUUAUUUUUAGUACCAUCAAAUAGGAAUUUGUUAAUGCUACUUUUAAAGUUCCGCUAAUAGGAUUUCAUCAUAAAUUUAUAGGAAAAUCAUCUCGUAUAAAGAAUAUUAUACGAUAGCAACAAUUUUAAUUAGUAAUUUAAAUUUUGGUAUGUGAUGAGCAAAUAUUAUUUUAUUUUAUUAUUUAUUCGA